rnacentral:rRNA from 1 species
UUCCCAGACUCCUACGGGAGGCAGCAGUGAGGAAUAUUGGUCAAUGGGCGGGAGCCUGAACCAGCCAAGUCGCGUGAGGGAAGACGGUCCUAUGGAUUGUAAACCUCUUUUGUCGGGGAGCAAAGAGGCCACGUGUGGUCAAAAGCGAGAGUACCCGAAGAAAAAGCAUCGGCUAACUCCGUGCCAGCAGCCGCGGUAAUACGGAGGAUGCGAGCGUUAUCCGGAUUUAUUGGGUUUAAAGGGUGCGUAGGCGGGACGGUAAGUCAGCGGUAAAAAUGCGGAGCUCAACUCCGUCGAGCCGUUGAAACUGGCUGUCUUGAGAUGUCGAGAGGUAUGCGGAAUGCGCAGUGUAGCGGUGAAAUGCUUAGAUAUUGCGCAGAACUCCGAUUGCGAAGGCAGCAUACCGGCGGCGAUCUGACGCUGAGGCACGAAAGCGUGGGUAUCGAACAGGAUUAGAUACCCUGGUAC